rnacentral:SRP_RNA from 1 species
CCGUGCUAGACGGGGAGCUAGCGGUGCCCUGUAACCCGAGAUCCGCUCAGCGGGGUUGAACGUCCUUCAGGAGAUCGCGGCAAAGAAGACCGGCUGACUGCCUGUGAGAUGGGAUGGACCUCACGUGACAACCGCCUGCGAACCCCGUCAGGUCCGGAAGGAAGCAGCGGUAAGAAGGACCGGUUGUGUCGUGAAGGUAUCUAUCCUUUAGUCUCCUGUAGAAAGCCGCUUCCGAGACGCGCAUUGAAUAAGGAUGCACGG